rnacentral:rRNA from 1 species
CCUACGGGAGGCAGCAGUGAGGAAUAUUGGUCAAUGGCCGGAAGGCUGAACCAGCCAUGCCGCGUGAAGGUCAGUGCCCUUUGGGCGUUUAACUUCUUUUGUGCGGGAGCAAUCAUGGUCAAGUGUGGCCAGACGAGAGUACCGUACGAAUAAGCAUCGGCUAACUCCGGGCCAGCAGCCGCGGGAAUACGGGGGAUGCAAGCGUUUUCCCGAUUUUUUGGGGUUAAAGGGGGCGUAGGCUGUGAGGUAAGUCGGCGGUGAAAAGCCCCGGCUCAACGGGGUGAAGUGCCAUUGAUACUGCCUUGCUGGAAUGCGGAUGCCGUAGGAGGAAUGUGUGGUGUAGCGGUGAAAUGCAUAGAUAUCACGCAGAACACCGAUUGCGAAGGCAUCUUACGAAUCCGCGAUUGACGCUGAUGCACGAAAGCGUGGGUAUCAAACAGGAUUAGAUACCCGUGUAGUC